UCUCUGAUGGUGUAACGGUUAGCAUUUAAGCUUGUCACGCUUGCGAUCCGGGUUCGAUUCCCGGUCAGAGAG
rfam:Enterocytozoon bieneusi H348 ctg01_502, whole genome shotgun sequence.